UGCUCAUUUUUUUCUUUUCCAUACUUGGACCUUCAUGUGUCCAUAUUUUUUUGUUUUAUUAAGAAUGCAAGUGGGAUGAAUAUAUGAAUGAAAUUAAACAUAGUGUGGAUUUGAACAUAAACUAAACAAAGUAGAUGUAUGGAUUAUCAAAGUAAACAUGUAGUGUAAUGCAAAAGAUAACUACUCAUUAAAUUGAAGUCCAUGAGCAAGGCUAUCUCACCUUUAUAGAUCAUACUUACCAUGACUCACAAGAUGGGAUUUGUGAGUGAUGCAACGUCUAUUUUCGUCACU
rnacentral:lncRNA from 1 species